rnacentral:SRP_RNA from 1 species
GUUGGAGUGUGGCACAACACACAACUAUGGUCCUUCCUGUUGGGGAAGCUGAGUGAGGCUGGCAGACAGCUUGAGCUCAGGAGUUUUGAGUUGCAGUAGGUCUAAGUUAACUGUAUGUCCACACUAAGUUCAGCACCAUUAUGGUGAGCCUCUGGGAGCAGAAAGCCCCUCAGGAUACCUAGAGAAGGGCAAACCAGUCCAAAUUGGAAAAAACAGAGCAAGUUAAAGCUUUCAUGCUGAUCAGUACUGGGAUCAUGCCCAGGAGUGGCUGCUGAACUUCUAGCCUGGGCAAGGUUGUGAACUGAAUUUU